CCUACGGGAGGCAGCAGUGAGGAAUAUUGGUCAAUGGACGAGAGUCUGAACCAGCCAAGUAGCGUGAAGGAUGACUGCCCUAUGGGUUGUAAACUUCUUUUAUAUGGGAAUAAAACGUUCCACGUGUGGGAUUUUGUAUGUACCAUAUGAAUAAGGAUCGGCUAACUCCGUGCCAGCAGCCGCGGUAAUACGGAGGAUCCGAGCGUUAUCCGGAUUUAUUGGGUUUAAAGGGUGCGUAGGUGGGUUGUUAAGUCAGUUGUGAAAGUUUGCGGCUCAACCGUAAAAUUGCAGUUGAAACUGGCAGUCUUGAGUACAGUAGAGGUGGGCGGAAUUCGUGGUGUAGCGGUGAAAUGCUUAGAUAUCACGAAGAACUCCGAUUGCGAAGGCAGUUCACUGGACUGCAACUGACACUGAGGCUCGAAAGUGUGGGUAUCAAACAGGAUUAGAUACCCUUGUAGUC
rnacentral:rRNA from 1 species